rnacentral:rRNA from 1 species
UACGUAGGGUGCAGGCGUUAAUCGGAAUUACUGGGCGUAAAGCGUGCGUAGGCGGUCCGCGAAGUCUGAUGUGAAAGCCCCGGGCUCAACCUGGGAACUGCAUUGGAAACUAACGGGCUCGAGUGUGGCAGAGGGGGGUGGAAUUCCACGUGUAGCAGUGAAAUGCGUAGAGAUGUGGAGGAACACCGAUGGCGAAGGCAGCCCCCUGGGCUAACACUGACGCUCAGGCACGAAAGCGUGGGGAGUAAACAGG